rnacentral:rRNA from 1 species
UACGUAGGGUGCAAGCGUUGUCCGGAAUUAUUGGGCGUAAAGAGCUCGUAGGCGGUCUGUCGCGUCUGCUGUGAAAACUCAGGGCUUAACCCUGAGCUUGCAGUGGGUACGGGCAGACUAGAGUGCGGUAGGGGAGACUGGAAUUCCUGGGUGUAGCGGUGAAAUGCGCAGAUAUCAGGAGGAACACCGGCGGCGAAGGCGGGUCUCUGGGCCGUAACUGACGCUGAGGAGCGAAAGCUGGGGGAGCGAACAGG